CCUAUAUCGGUGGUGUCCACCUCUUCCCAUUCCGAACAGAGAAGUUAAGCCCACCAGAGCCGAUGGUACUGCGGUAACACGUGGGAGAGUAGGUCGGUGCCAAAU
rnacentral:rRNA from 1 species